GACGAACGCUGGCGGCGUGCUUAACACAUGCAAGUCGAACGGAAAGGCCCUGCUCGCAGGGUACUCGAGUGGCGAACGGGUGAGUAACACGUGGGUGAUCUGCCCUGCACUUCGGGAUAAGCCUGGGAAACUGGGUCUAAUACCGGAUAGGAGCCAUUUUUAGUGUGAUGGUUGGAAAGUUUUUUCGGUGUAGGAUGAGCUCGCGGCCUAUCAGCUUGUUGGUGGGGUAAUGGCCUACCAAGGCGGCGACGGGUAGCCGGCCUGAGAGGGUGGACGGCCACAUUGGGACUGAGAUACGGCCCAGACUCCUACGGGAGGCAGCAGUGGGGAAUAUUGCACAAUGGGCGCAAGCCUGAUGCAGCGACGCCGCGUGGGGGAUGACGGCCUUCGGGUUGUAAACUCCUUUCGCUAGGGACGAAGCUUUUUGUGACGGUACCUAGAGAAGAAGCACCGGCUAACUACGUG
rnacentral:rRNA from 1 species